rnacentral:rRNA from 1 species
UGAUCCUGGCUCAGAUUGAACGCUGGCGGCAGGCCUAACACAUGCAAGUCGAGCGGUAGAGAGAAGCUUGCUUCUCUUGAGAGCGGCGGACGGGUGAGUAAUACCUAGGAAUCUGCCUGAUAGUGGGGGAUAACGUUCGGAAACGGACGCUAAUACCGCAUACGUCCUACGGGAGAAAGCAGGGGACCUUCGGGCCUUGCGCUAUCAGAUGAGCCUAGGUCGGAUUAGCUAGUUGGUGAGGUAAUGGCUCACCAAGGCUACGAUCCGUAACUGGUCUGAGAGGAUGAUCAGUCACACUGGAACUGAGACACGGUCCAGACUCCUACGGGAGGCAGCAGUGGGGAAUAUUGGACAAUGGGCGAAAGCCUGAUCCAGCCAUGCCGCGUGUGUGAAGAAGGUCUUCGGAUUGUAAAGCACUUUAAGUUGGGAGGAAGGGCAGUUACCUAAUACGUGAUUGUCUUGACGUUACCGACAGAAUAAGCACCGGCUACU